rnacentral:rRNA from 1 species
CCUACGGGCUGCUGCAGUGGGGAAUAUUGGACAAUGGGCGAAAGCCUGAUCCAGCCAUGCCGCGUGUGUGAAGAAGGCCUUCGGGUUGUAAAGCACUUUCAGUGGGGAAGAAAGCCUUGGGGCUAAUACCCUCGAGGAAGGACAUCACCCACAGAAGAAGCACCGGCUAACUCCGUGCCAGCAGCCGCGGUAAUACGGAGGGUGCGAGCGUUAAUCGGAAUUACUGGGCGUAAAGCGCGCGUAGGCGGUCUGAUAAGCCGGUUGUGAAAGCCCCGGGCUCAACCUGGGAACGGCAUCCGGAACUGUCAGGCUAGAGUGCAGGAGAGGAAGGUAGAAUUCCCGGUGUAGCGGUGAAAUGCGUAGAGAUCGGGAGGAAUACCAGUGGCGAAGGCGGCCUUCUGGACUGACACUGACGCUGAGGUGCGAAAGCGUGGGUAGCAAACAGGAUUAGAUACCCGUGUAGUC